rnacentral:rRNA from 1 species
GAAUAGGGGAGGGAAAAAUUCCUACGUGAAUUUGCGUCGUACUGCUCGGCGCAAAACCUUACACACAGUGUCUUUUUGAUACAGAACUCUUGCUUUGGUUUGGCCUAGAGAUAGGUUGGGCCAGAGGUUUAACAAAACACAAUUUAAUUAUUUUUAUUGAUAGUCAAAUUUUGAAUUAAUCUUCAAAACUUUCAACAACGGAUCUCUUGGUUCUCGCAUCGAUGAAGAACGCAGCGAAAUGCGAUAAGUAAUAUGAAUUGCAGAUUUUCGUGAAUCAUCGAAUCUUUGAACGCACAUUGCGCCCUCUGGUAUUCCAGAGGGCAUGCCUGUUUGAGCGUCAUUUCUCUCUCAAACCCCCGGGUUUGGUAUUGAGUGAUACUCUUAGUCGAACUAGGCGUUUGCUUGAAAAGUAUUGGCAUGGGUAGUACUGGAUAGUGCUGUCGACCUCUCAAUGUAUUAGGUUUAUCCAACUCGUUGAAUGGUGUGGCGGGAUAUUUCUGGUAUUGUUGGCCCGGCCUUACAACAACCAAACAAGUUUGACCUCACAUCAGGUAGGAAUACCCGCUGAACUUAAGCAUAUCCAUAAGCGGAGGAAGCCUUCGUAGAUUAACCUGCGCGACAUCUUUAACCAAGGAAGUUUCUCUUUUUUUAUUACCCGGGCAAUUUAAAAAAGGGGGUUUCUUG